rnacentral:tRNA from 1 species
GUAUUAUGUAGCUUAAUAACAAAGCAUAGUGCUGAAGCCACUAAAAUGAGCCAACACUCCAAAUACA